ensembl:ncRNA lncRNA:CR45291 long non-coding RNA:CR45291
AGCCGAGCGGCGAAUGGAAAAGUCUGCUGGCAGAUGGAAAACCUAUUGUUCAAUUACCAAAGCGAGACGGAAAAUGGAGUAGUCCGUGUGUUGCAAUCGGAUGGAUUUUGGGCUUUGGAUUUUGUAGCCGGUGUGUGGCGUCGUCCCACCUUUUGAUGGCAUUUUAAGCGAAUUUUCGAGCGUCUGGCGGUCUGGGAAUCUCUUAAUCGGAAUCCCCAUCGCCAAGAGCGAGGUGAAAGGCAUAAAGAAGGCGCCGCAUCCAAAAGGCAAAAGGUUUUUGGUGCAAUUAAUUGGCACAAUAAAAACAAAAGGCGGCUCUGCAUUGUACUUGCUC